rnacentral:rRNA from 1 species
GACGAACGCUGGCGGCGUGCUUAACACAUGCAAGUCGAACGGAAAGGCCUGCUUUCUCUUGUGGUUUGCGGGUACUCGAGUGGCUAACGGGCGAGUAACACGUGAGUGAUCUGCCCCCAACUUGGGUAUAAGCCUGGGAAACUGUGUCUAAUUCCCGAUAGGACUGCAGGGUGGUGUCUGUGGUGGCAAACGUUUUUCUAGUGGUUGGUGAUGAGCUCGCGGCCUAUCAGCUUGUUGGUGGGGUAAUGGCCGACCAAGGCGGCGACGGGUAGCCGGCCUGGGAUCGUGGACGGCGACAUUGAGACUGGGAUACGGCCCAGACUCCUACGGGAGGCAGCAGUGGGGAAGAAUGCACAGUGGGCGGAAGCCUGAUGCAGCGAGGCAGCGUGGGGGAUGACGGCAUUCGGGUUGUAAACUCCUAUCGAACGCGAGGAAGCCACCUGGUUGGAAGGGUGGUGACGGUAGUGGUAGAAGAAGCACCGGCUAACUACGUG